GGGUCAGUAGGUUGGUCGUGCCACCGGUACGUACUGGUCUCACUGAUUCCUCCUUCCUGAAGAACCGUAAUGCCAUUAAUUUGGUGUUGCGGGGAGACAGGACUGUUACUUUGAAAAAAUUAGAGUGUUUAAAGCAAGCUAACGCUUGAAUACAUUAGCAUGGAAUAAUGAAAUAGGACGAUCGAUCCUAUUUUGUUGGUUUCCAGGAUUGACGUA
rnacentral:rRNA from 1 species